rnacentral:snoRNA from 1 species
UCUGCACAUUGUUAGAGCUUGGAGUUGAGGCCACUGGCUGGCCGAUGAACUCACAAGUGUAGGUAGUGUGCUACACGAGGGGCAAGUCUUUUCGCUAACACCACAAGGGUCUCUGGGCCCAAUGAGUGGAGUUUGAUAGUAAUUCUUGCUACAAGU